rnacentral:rRNA from 1 species
GAUGAACGCUGGCGGCGUGCCUAAUACAUGCAAGUCGAGCGAACGGACGAGAAUCUUGCUUCUCUGAUGUUAGCGGCGGACGGGUGAGUAACACGUGGAUAACCUACCUAUAAGACUGGGAUAACUUCGGGAAACCGUAGCUAAUACCGGAUAAUAUUUUGAACCGCAUGGUUCAAAAGUGAAAGACGGUCUUGCUGUCACUUAUAGAUGGAUCCGCGCUGCAUUAGCUAGUUGGUAAGGUAACGGCUUACCAAGGCAACGAUGCAUAGCCGACCUGAGAGGGUGAUCGGCCACACUGGAACUGAGACACGGUCCAGACUCCUACGGGAGGCAGCAGUAGGGAAUCGUCCGCAAUGGGCGAAAGCCUGACGGAGCAACGCCGCGUGAGUGAUGAAGGUCUUCGGAUCGUAAAACUCUGUUAUUAGGGAAGAACAUAUGUGUAAGUAACUGUGCACAUCUUGACGGUACCUAAUCAGAAAGCCACGGCUAACUACGUG